ensembl:lncRNA
CUCGGGUUUCUCGUCUGCAUGUGGAGAUGAUGACUUUACCAAGACACCUGCUGAGACUGCGAGAUAAGAGCAAGUCUUGGCUCCUUGUGAGAACCUCUGAAUUUUAUUACAGACCUUCCUCGUCAGAGGACAUCAACAGCCAGAAGGCACAGCCCCAAUUAAACAGAAGCAAAAACAGCCUUGUAAGAUUCAGUCCAUGGGGUCGCAGAGUCGGGCACGACUGAGCGACUGAACUGAACUGAAACUGUUCAUCAGCUUGUGUCUCCUAACAGUUUAACUCUGUGUAUUGCAUCAUAUGGUAUGAAGAGUUCUGAACCUGUAGGCAAAAGAUGUGGGAUUAUUCCUGGCUUCUUCUCUUUACUGGUCUGCGCCUGGCGACUUGCCUCACCUCUCUGUCUGAUUCCCCCCAGGACUGCAGUAAGGAUUAACUGACACAAUGUGAACAGAUUCUGUAAACUGUAAAGUGCCAUUCAAAUGUAUGCUGUGCGUGAUUCUCCUACGAGGCCGAAGCUUAACCACCCCAAGCUAUCCAC